UGUGGUCUUUAAGGCAAGCUUGUACCGGAGAAGCAACAGCUUGUCUCUGAGAUCCUGACGAUUUCUUGUAGAUUCGACAUAAGACCCAAUCGUCCAACUGUAAGAGAACGAGUUUAGCGAUUUGAUUUCGAUUUAUGUUUUUACUAUAUUUAAUCUGUGUGUUGUUGUUACCUUGGAGCUGCCAUGGCUACGAGAAUGCUCGAUGAGUCGAUACUCGUGCAUAAUCCAGUUUGUUUUCGUGCCUUUUGGAGCUUUCCCGGCGUAGAAAACCAGAGCUUUUUUUAUCCCGACUCGGUGACCUUCCGACAUGAUGAUCUUGUCCGUACCCGUCGCCUUCCAAUAACCUGACCCGGCUACUCUAUUGGGUCUUGACCCGUUCGGAUAUUUCCGGUCUCUUGGGCUAAAGAAGUACCAUUCCUUCUCCCCGAACAAGGCCUUACCUGCGCGCGAACACAUCACAAAACACCAUAAAGAUCGAACUUGUAGAGAUCGAUAUCUCCGAUGAUCUGGAGAGAGAAAUGAUAGCCUGCAACUUUCCGACAGAGAUACUGAACAAGAAGCUCUUCAUCUGUCGGGUAAAAACGAAAACCCGGAGGUAAGCUCAACUGGGCUAACGGAUCCUUCUCUCUAACGCCCAUUUUUUUCUCUACUUCGAUUCUUCAGGAGAUAAAAUAAUGUGUUUAGAUGUUUAAGUUCGUCGAUCUCUUUUUUAGACAACCAUGCAAGUAGCUGCUUUAUAUAUAGGCUGUGUAAAAGGCAAAGGCUCAACCAAGCUCGUAGCUUGGUGGUAGAGGCAGAGGUGCACUGUCCGCCACCCAGGUUGGAGCUGUUACUGUCCAGAUACCAGAGUUUAAAAAAAAAAAAAAAAAAAAAAAAAGCAAAGGCUCUUCGAGGAUAAGUACGGUCGUUCUUGUCUUACUGUUGUAAAAUCUAAACACGAUUUUCUUUGUGGACCAUUUGGACCAUUGACAUACAGCCACGUACAUGCAACUGCCGACUGAGCUGUACAAUCUUUUCGAGCGAGAUAAAUGUGCGUAAUAUUCUUGUGUAUAUGUAUUUUUAGUAUGAGAAAACAUUAUCGCAGUAAUUUAUUUUUUUCUUGGUUCA